GGUAGUCCACGCCGUAAACGAUGAGUACUAGGUGUAGGCGGUAUCGACCCCGUCUGUGCCGAAGCUAACGCGAUAAGUACUCCGCCUGGGGACUACGGCCGCAAGGUUAAAACUCAAAGGAAUUGACGGGGGCCCGCACAAGCAGCGGAGCGUGUGGUUUAAUUCGAUGCUACGCGAAAAACCUCACCCAGGCUUGAAAUGCACGUGGUAGGGAAGGGAAACCGGACCGACCCCUCGGGAGCGUGCACAGGUGUUGCACGGCCGUCGUCAGCUCGUGCCGUGAGGUGUUGGGUUAAG
rnacentral:rRNA from 1 species